UACGGAGGGUGCAAGCGUUGUCCGGAUUUAUUGGGUUUAAAGGGUGCGUAGGCGGCCUGUUAAGUCAGGGGUGAAAGACGGUAGCUCAACUAUCGCAGUGCCCUUGAUACUGAUGGGCUUGAAUGGACUAGAGGUAGGCGGAAUGAGACAAGUAGCGGUGAAAUGCAUAGAUAUGUCUCAGAACACCGAUUGCGAAGGCAGCUUACUAUGGUCUUAUUGACGCUGAGGCACGAAAGCGUGGGGAUCAAACAGG
rnacentral:rRNA from 1 species